rnacentral:lncRNA from 1 species
GUGUGGGCCUUUAUUUUUUGUAGCGCUCCCUCUCAAAACCAUAAGCCCUCCUCUCUAUAAAAGGGGUCCAAUUGUUGGAUGCCCCAUAUGAGUGGAAAAUUAGAGGAGAAGGUCUCCUCUCUUGGGUGUGGGUUUCUCUUCUUCGGAGCUAGGGUAUGGGUGAGAGAAAAAUGAAGAGACAAGGAGUUCUCCCUUGCCUUCUUCCACCAAC